rnacentral:rRNA from 1 species
AUGGCCAGCUUGCUGGUCUGAUCAGUGGCGAACGAGUAACACGUGAGCAACCUACCCCAGACUCUGGAAUAACCAUGGGAAACGAUGGCUAAUACCGGAUACGAGACACACACGCAUGUGUGGUGUCUGGAAAGAUUUAUCGGUCUGGGAUGGGCUCGCGGCCUAUCAGCUUGUUGGUGGGGUAGUGGCCUACCAAGGCGACGACGGGUAGCCGGCCUGAGAGGGCGACCGGCCACACUGGGACUGAGAUACGGCCCAGACUCCUACGGGAGGCAGCAGUGGGGAAUAUUGCACAAUGGGCGCAAGCCUGAUGCAGCGACGCCGCGUGAGGGAUGACGGCCUUCGGGUUGUAAACCUCUUUCAGCAGGGAAGAAGCGCAAGUGACGGUACCUGCAGAAGAAGCGCCGGCUAACUACAUGCCAGCAGCCGCGGUAAUACGUAGGGCGCAAGCGUUGUCCGGAAUUAUUGGGCGUAAAGAGCUCGUACGCGGUUUGUCGCGUCUGCUGUGAAAACCUGAGGCUCAACCUCGGGCUUGCAGUGGGUACGGGCAGACUAGAGUGCGGUAGGGGUGACUGGAAUUCCUGGUGUAGCGGU